AAAUUGAAGAGUUUGAUCAUGGCUCAGAUUGAACGCUGGCGGCAGGCCUAACACAUGCAAGUCGAACGGUAACAGGAAGCAGCUUGCUGCUUUGCUGACGAGUGGCGGAUGGGUGAGUAAUGUCUGGGAAACUGCCUGAUGGAGGGGGAUAACUACUGGAAACGGUGGCUAAUACCGCAUAACGUCGCAAGACCAAAGAGGGGGACCUUCGGGCCUCUUGCCAUCAGAUGUGCCCAGAUGGGAUUAGCU
rnacentral:rRNA from 1 species